GUGGGGAAUAUUGGACAAUGGGGGCAACCCUGAUCCAGCGAUGCCGCGUGGGUGAAGAAGGCCUUCGGGUUGUAAAGCCCUUUAGGUCGGGAAGAAGGUUAGUAGAGGAAAUGCUAUUAAUUUGACGGUACCGACAGAAUAAGCACCGGCAAACUCUGUGCCAGCAGCCGCGGUAAUACAGAGGGUGCGAGCGUUAAUCGGAUUUACUGGGCGUAAAGGGCGCGUAGGCGGUGAGAUGUGUGUGAUGUGAAAGCCCCGGGCUCAACCUGGGAAGUGCAUCGCAAACUGUCUGACUGGAGUAUAUGAGAGGGUGGCGGAAUUUCCGGUGUAGCGGUGAAAUGCGUAGAGAUCGGAAGGAACGUCGAUGGCGAAGGCAGCCACCUGGCAUAAUACUGACGCUGAGGCGCGAAAGCGUGGGGAUCGAACAGGAUUAGAUACCCUAGUAGUCC
rnacentral:rRNA from 1 species